rnacentral:rRNA from 1 species
AUGGAGUUCGACGAGCGCUGCCUCAAGGUCCAGGACCCCAAAUUUGAUUGCCUCCUCUUUGACCUGGACGACACUCUGUACCCGCUGAGCUCGGGGAUCUCAUCACACGUCAAGACUAACAUUGAAGCUUACAUGGUUGAGAAGCUGGGUAUUGAGGAGAGCAAGAUCGAAAACCUUGGCAACCUGCUGUACAAGAACUAUGGCACCACGAUGGCGGGCCUCAGGGCAAUUGGCUACAACUUCGACUACGAUGAGUACCACAGCUUUGUCCAUGGAAGACUGCCCUACGACAACAUCAAGCCCGACCCCGUUCUCAAGCAGAUUCUCAAGAACAUGCGCAUGCGCAAGCUCAUUUUCACCAACGGUGACAUGAUCCAUGCCGUGAGAGCCCUCAAGAGGCUGGGCCUGGAGGACUGCUUCGAGGGGAUCAUCUGCUUCGAGACCCUGAACCCGCCGUGCCUGCUGACGCCGUGCGACCAGGCGCCGGAGAUCUUCGACAUCGCCGGCCACUUCGCCGGGUUAGGCAGCGCCGACGACCUGCCCAGGACCCCCGUCCUAUGCAAGCCCAACGUCGGCGCCAUGGAGGCGGCCCUCAGGAUCGCCAACGUCAACCCUUACAAGGCGAUUUUCUUCGACGACAGCGUGCGCAACAUUCAGGCUGGCAAGCGAAUCGGCCUCCACACAGUGCUGGUUGGCACGUCACAGCGGGUGAAGGGCGCGGAUCACGCGCUGGAGAGCAUCCACAACAUCCGGGAGGCGCUGCCGGAGCUGUGGGAGGAGGCCGAGAAGACGGAGGACGUGCUCUACUCGGACCGCGUGGCGAUCGAGACCUCGGUGACCGCGUAG